GAUGAACGCUGGCGGCGUGCCUAAUACAUGCAAGUCGAGCGAACAGACGAGGAGCUUGCUCCUCUGACGUUAGCGGCGGACGGGUGGGUAACACGUGGAUAACCUACCUAUAAGACUGGGAUAACUUCGGGAAACCGGAGCUAAUACCGGAUAAUAUAUUGAACCGCAUGGUUCAAUAGUGAAAGACGGUUUUGCUGUCACUUAUAGAUGGAUCCGCGCCGCAUUAGCUAGUUGGUAAGGUAACGGCUUACCAAGGCAACGAUGCGUAGCCGACCUGAGAGGGUGAUCGGCCACACUGGAACUGAGACACGGUCCAGACUCCUACGGGAGGCAGCAGUAGGGAAUCUUCCGCAAUGGGCGAAAGCCUGACGGAGCAACGCCGCGUGAGUGAUGAAGGUCUUCGGAUCGUAAAACUCUGUUAUUAGGGAAGAACAAAUGUGUAAGUAACUAUGCACGUCUUGGCGGUACCUAAUCAGAAAGCCACGGCUAACUACGUG
rnacentral:rRNA from 1 species